rnacentral:rRNA from 1 species
GUGGGGAAUCUUGCGCAAUGGGCGAAAGCCUGACGCAGCCAUGCCGCGUGAAUGAUGAAGGUCUUAGGAUUGUAAAAUUCUUUCACCGGGGACGAUAAUGACGGUACCCGGAGAAGAAGCCCCGGCUAAUUUCGUGCCAGCAGCCGCGGUAAUACGAAGGGGGCUAGCGUUGCUCGGAAUUACUGGGCGUAAAGGGCGCGUAGGCGGACAGUUUAGUCAGAGGUGAAAGCCCAGGGCUCAACCUUGGAAUUGCCUUUGAUACUGGCUGUCUUGAGUACGGGAGAGGUGAGUGGAACUCCGAGUGUAGAGGUGAAAUUCGUAGAUAUUCGGAAGAACACCAGUGGCGAAGGCGACUCACUGGCCCGUUACUGACGCUGAGGCGCGAAAGCGUGGGGAGCAAACAGGAUUAGAAACCCUAGUAGUCC